CAGCCGCCGCGGGAAUACGGAGGGAGCUAGCGUUGUUCGGAAUUACUGGGCGUAAAGCGCACGUAGGCGGUUAUUCAAGUCAGAGGUGAAAGCCCGGGGCUCGACCCCGGAACUGCCUUUGAAACUAGAUGACUGGAAUCUUGGAGAGGUCAGUGGAAUUCCGAGUGUAGAGGUGAAAUUCGUAGAUAUUCGGAAGAACACCAGUGGCGAAGGCGACUGACUGGACAAGUAUUGACGCUGAGGUGCGAAAGCGUGGGGAGCAAACAGGAUUAGAUACCCCAGUAGUCCCUGUCUCUUAUAC
rnacentral:rRNA from 1 species